UAUCACAGAAGUUUUCUACCACUCAAACAUUCCCCCAAAUAAGUCUCAGUCACCUGCCUAUUUAAGUCAUAAUGCCAGAAUGCUGCUCUAUACAUUUUCAUCUUUAAUCCAGUCUGGUGAAUAAGAUUAUGACAGUUCUGCUCCCAUUCUGAGAUGAAAGGAG